rnacentral:pre_miRNA from 1 species
UUUUCUUCUGCUGUAUAACUGAACGGGAGAAGUUGUAACGCUUUAUGUAUUCUUAUCACCAUAAGCGUAUAGCUUUUCCCCUUGGUUGUACAAGCGAAACGAC